rnacentral:rRNA from 1 species
GACGAACGCUGGCGGCGUGCCUAACACAUGCAAGUCGAGCGGAGACAUGUUUCGGAGAGCUUCGGCAGGAAGAGAUAUGUUUUAGCGGCGGACGGGUGAGUAACGCGUGAGCAAUCUGUCCUUCACAGGGGGAUAAGAUACCGAAAGGUGUUCUAAUACCGCAUAAGACCACAUGAUCGCAUGGUCAAGGGGUCAAAGGAGCAAUCUGGUGAAGGGUGAGCUCGCGUCCGAUUAGAUAGUUGGUGAGGUAACGGCCCACCAAGUCAACGAUCGGUAGCCGACCUGAGAGGGUGAUCGGCCACAUUGGGACUGAGACACGGCCCAGACUCC